GCCGCCCGGCGGCCCCGAGGCAGGCAGAGGAGCUUCCCUGGCCCCGCUCAGCUGGCCCCGAGCCGCCGGCGGCGGAGGCCCCCGAACACCCACCGCUCCCCGCUCCUGCGGGGCGAGAGGGAACUCUGCGGCGCCACGGCAGGAAAAGGGAAGCUUGAAUACGCGUGGUGAUUAGUACAUACCCGCGCGACUCCACACCUCAACAGCUGUCAGCACCGUCCCGGCCCACCUCACCCUACGGACUCCAGGUCUCUCUACCCAGGUCACAUUCCUCCAUCCAUCCAUCUCUCUCUUAGUCAACCCCCGUUAUCCCCUCCAGUUCUCCUUUCCCCCACUACUCUCUCACACUCACCUGUCACAUAUACUAGUUCAGAUCUGCACAUUUUGGUGGAAAACCUGUCAGUCUGAUGCUGGGACUCUAAGCCUCUUCACACACUCCCACACCCAGCUAUCUCAAGACUGAUCUCUUGGCUCCAUGUCUGCAAGUCUGACUCCCAGAAGCCUGCUGAUUCUCUGAUGUCCUUGGCCUGCGGUUAGGGUGACUGGGCUGCCACCUGGACGUCACCAUGGCGAGGUUGCUGUUCAGAGUUCUUUUGAGAAGCUCAGGUACAGAACAUAUACCUGAUGCACUUGAACACACACAGGCCACUCACACAGGCUUCAUCUCUGUCUUGUAGCUGUGCUUGCUGCCCGAACUGACAGGCUGCAGAGAAGUUUGCACGGUUCUCUCCCAUGCACACACCCACACGGCGCCAGGCCCCAGGCCAGCCGGUAUUAUUCUGCCUGAUUAGGAUUAGCAGAGUCACUUACCCAAAUAUGUGCUUGGGAGAGAGAGUGAGAAAGAGUAGGGAAGUGGUGAGAGAGAGAGAGAGAGAGAGAGAGAGAGAGAGGAGAGAUAAAGGGAGAGAGGGAGAGAGGACGCUAUUACCCAUUCUGGGGAAGAACUCACAGACCAGAGCUGAGAGCUGUUUCCAGUUGGUUCGCCCAGGGAUGCUUUCAUCUGGGGUUGAUGGGGAUGAUAGCCUGGAAAUGUCACACCUUGCCUGGGAAAGUGGUGUUGAACCCCUUUUCUGUGCAUUGGCUGUUCCAGGUGUGGGGACGCAGUGAGGAGCAACGUGUGAUUUCUGCUCACAGGGAGCCCCAGGUGACAAGUACACAGCCUGUACACAUCUCCCCAGCCCAAGAUGCAGGUGCCAUAGGAGGCAAGAGGAAGAGAGGAGAGAUUUCUGGCUGGGUAAUCUGGGAAGGCCUGGCAGGUAAAGGUCUCGUCCCCCAGGAGAGGCUGAGCUGCCCUUCUCACCCCCACCCCCCGCCCCCCGCCAUGCCAUUGCAUGGGCCAGAGGACAGCAUGUUACUGCCUUAAUCAAGGAGUGCUUUCACCUUUGUACCUGUCAGGUGCCAAGGUAUGUGCCAAGUGUUAUGGUGGACAUAAGAAAAGACCUAGUUUCUAUCCAUGAAGAGUUCUCUUCAGUCUGAUUGGGAAGAAAAACAACACACACUCGAUCCACAACAGAUCAGCAAGCAUUGGUUGUAAUUCAACAAACUUUUCUGAAGUGUUUACGGUAUGCCAGAAGGAGGGCCUCCUGCCUUCAGCAGGCUGUAUGGCCUUCUCGGCAUGUCCGUGUUUUGGGUGCUCUGUGUUCCUGUCCACCCCUCCUCUCACCCCAAACUCGGGGUGCAUCCUUGGUCAUGUGGGCCUUGGUAAAGUUGACUUACCUAUCAGUGUCUUCUCAGUUGCUUGCUGGUCAUCCUUUAAGUCUACUCAAGGAUCAUCUCCUCUUGGAGGUAUUCCCUGGCCCAAUAAUCUAUUGAUACAUCAGCAGGCUGGGCUGGGUGUUUGGGGUCCUACGGCACGUUGUCUGUGCUUUCUUCUAUCUCAGCAAUUCUUACCCUCUGCUGUAAAUUAUUUGUUAAUUUGUUUAUCUCCUUCUCCUAGACUGUGAACCUCCUGAGAACAGUGGCUGUUUUCUCAUCAUCUUUGUAUUCUUAGUGCCUGACGUAUCUGUAGUGCAGAAAAUGUUCGUUGAAUGAAUGUCUGAGACUCCACAUUUAGCGCUUCUUUCUCUUAGGCGCAGAUUCAGUCUGGGAAAAGAUGAGGCAUUCAAAUGUUAUUAGUCACUAACACUUUAGUAUGAAUCAUUCCAGUGUUUCAUUAUAGUUCUGUGAGAGGUAGAAACUGGGAAUGGGAGGAACUCUAGGACAAGAGUUAGGGGUCCGCACGUGUUAUAUUCUCGGAUAGUGAGGUGCCAGGGUGAAGAGGAGCGGAAUUCAGGAUGGGAGAGGGUCCCGGAGGGCUCGAAGGCAAAGGCUGCCGGCGGUAUCGUCAGACGCUCAAGUGGAGGAAAGAAAGGGCAGCUUCCGGGUGUGCCAGGCCCGCCGCGUGUCUUGGGUGCAGGACGUUGACGGUGCACGGUGCGUCCAACGGGCCGGAAGUCGGAAGUCGAGCUGGCCCGACGUGGGGGUCUUCCUCGCUUUGUAGCGCCGGAAGCGGCAGCCGGCUGUGGGGCUCAGAGCCGUGCCGGGCCCUACCGUGUUAUCCUACCCCGCGGCGGUGCAGGAAGCCCCUGGGGAGCGCACCCGAGCCCCGGCGCCGGGCCUCCGCCUGGGCGUGGUACAUGGCCCUCGGCUCUCAGCGCAGACGCGCUCGCCCAGGGAGGCGGGGUCGGCCGUGGUCCUGCACUGCGGCCGCCUCGCCAUCUUCAUGUCUCUUUGACGUCCUCAGAGAUGCUGGCCUCGCCACCUCCCGCCUCUGCUAAGCCCUGCCUCGGAGGCCCCGUCCCGGGAAAGGAAUAAAAGAUACGCCCCGAGACGGCGGGACCGACUGCAGCUUCCUGUGGCCGCAAGAAGGCGUAGCUAAGACAUUCUCUAGGUAGGGACGACCCUGGAGACAAGUUCCCUGACCAGGAAUUGAGCCUGAGCCAUGGCAGUGAAAGCGCUGAGUCCUAACCACUGGACCACUGGGGAAAUCCCCAGAUAAUUUUCUUAAGGUGAGUAGAUGAAAAGUCGGGAGAGAAAGCAGUAGCUAGAGGGAUGUUCAUGGGUCAGGGAUGGUAUAUCUAUAUCUAUAUCUAUCUAUCUAUACACCAUAUAUUUGAGUUAAAUACAUGGUUAAUAUAUAUAACACAUUAAAGUAUAAAUACAUAAUAAUUAGUAUAAAGUAAAUAUAAUAAUAUAUUUAUAUAUAAUAUAUACAUAUAUAAAUUAAACAUACAUAUGUAUAUACAAGUAUAAAUAUAUGUAUUUCUAUUAGUGGGAAUAAUACACACAUGUUUUCA